GAUGAACGCUGGCGGCGUGCCUAAUACAUGCAAGUCGAGCGAACAGAUGAGGAGCUUGCUCCUCUGACGUUAGCGGCGGACGGGUGAGUAACACGUGGAUAACCUACCUAUAAGACUGGGAUAACUUCGGGAAACCGGAGCUAAUACCGGAUAAUAUAUUGAACCGCAUGGUUCAAUAGUGAAAGACGGUUUUGCUGUCACUUAUAGAUGGAUCCGCGCCGCAUUAGCUAGUUGGUAAGGUAACGGCUUACCAAGGCAACGAUGCGUAGUCGACCUGAGAGGGUGAUCGGCCACACUGGAACUGAGACACGGUCCAGACUCCUACGGGAGGCAGCAGUAGGGAAUCUUCCGCAAUGGGCGAAAGCCUGACGGAGCAACGCCGCGUGAGUGAUGAAGGUCUUCGGAUCGUAAAACUCUGUUAUUAGGGAAGAACAAAUGUGUAAGUAACUAUGCACGUCUUGACGGUACCUAAUCAGAAAGCCACGGCUAACUACGUG
rnacentral:rRNA from 1 species